GGCCUUUCCUGGGAGCUCUCUGUAGAAUUCCUUCCUGGCUGCUGUCCUGUGAUUAUUGAGCACCCCCCCCCCAGGGGGCUGUUAUUAGAAGAUGGGAAAAACUUUUUUUUUUCUAAGAUAUUCUGGCUAUCCUGAGACUUGCUCUGUACACCACGCUAGCCUUGAACUCAGAGAUCCACUUGCCUCUGCUUCCCGACAUUAAAGAUAAGGUUGGAUGUAUCCCAGGCUAAGCUCAACGUCCUCUGCGGAGAAGACAGCCUUGAACUUGAGACCUCCUGCUUCGGUUUCUACUGCUGGGAUCAUAGACUUGAGCCUUGCUUCGGUGGAGCUGGGAUUAAUCCUUGGGCCUGGAUCGUGCAAAGUUAGCAGGCUACCAGCUCUGCUAUCCCCAGCCAGCAAACCUGGCCUUCCCCACAGUCAGGAUUUUUCAGUCUCCAGAGUUAUGCUAUAGUCAGUACACUUAACUCGUUCCUUCCACACCCACAGCAUCUCCACAACGAGCGCCUGCUGGAUAAGCGCCAACAUAGAACUGGUUAUAAAGUCGGACCAAUCAGAAUGUGAUUUUUAAGGUACCUGGGAAGUGCUCAGUCCACCAAUGGUGCAUUCCUGGCUCCGGAGGGAAACCAGGCAGAGAGGGCACAGAGAAGCCAGCUUCGGAAUGCUUAGCUGUUCUCCAGCUUACUGUGUUCCAACUCCCGUUCCUGUCCGUUGGAGUGAAGGUAGGUAGCAUUCUGAUGUCAGGGGAGAGACUAUGACUGUGUAGUCACUACUGUAGAAAGUGCAGAGGCCUAGGGGCCAGAGCAAAGACCUCGGUCCCACUACAGCUGGGGACACCUCAGUAAAGUUAGGUUUCUGGUCAGCUUCAUGACUAGUGUUUAAAAGUAACGCUAGAGACUUACAGGGUGUCUGGAGCCUUUUCUUGACUUAUCUGCUCCUUGGAGUCUAAUCAGGAGCUUGUGAAGAGAUGCUAGUGGCCAAGCCAUUUCAGACAAGCUUUUAGGAAGUCACCUGGGUGAGGUAAGUGAUGAUCUUUGACCUGGAGCUUGGAAUUGAUCCCUCCCAUCUAAUCUUUGAAACCUUCAGAUAACUAGCCCCUCUCGCCCAUGAUGCUUCAGCUCUCCCAUAAUGCUUCAUCUCUCCCAUAAUGCUUCAGAUCUCCCAUGAUGCUUCAGAUCUCCCAUGAUGCCUCAGGUGUUUACUUCACAUGAGGAUGUGAAUGCUGUAGACAUUUGUCAUUCAAUUUUUUUUUUUCUUUUUAGUGUGGGCCUCUCUCUUACCCAUCAAAGCCCAUCAAAGAAGCAUUUGAUUCAUUGUUCAAUUUUCACAAAAUUCUAUACUUUUAUUUCAAGGGAGGGUAGAGUAUGGUUAAGAACAUCGGCUCUGAAGUGCACCUGCCUGUCCAGGUCCAAUUCUGAGACUCACUAGCUUUGCAAUCUUAGAAAAAUCAGUUAACCUCUUGGUCCUUAUGUGACUACAGAAUCAGAUAAUAAUAACAGGGGUGGGGUAGGAGUGCACCUGGAAUAAUAAAAGCACAAUAAAUAUUAUCCUUUAAAAUAUAUUGCUCACUUUCCUACCAGACUCCCUGAUUUACAAUGAGAACCUAUUCAUGUACCCAAGGAAGCUCCAUAUGAAGUCAGUGUUGUGAUCUGCUGAGUUCAAUUUUUUUCUUAAUUAUGAACGAUGUACUAUUUAUCUUAAGCAUGUCCAUUUUUACAAUCAAAGUCCAAGUGUCUCCAAUAUCAUUUUUAUUUAUUUAAUUUAAUGUAUAAGGUAGUUCCCAAGGCAAUGCCUUGAUACAAGGAGAUGUCCAGGCUGAAGAGACUCACUGUGGAUCAGUGCAGAGUGUCAAACUGCCUAACCCAGGCUUUCCACACAUAAUUACUUGAGAUCACACUGGAGAACCAGCACCCUGAUCCAGUGUGUCUGCCAUCUUUACAUGGAGAGCUAUGGGAAGUGGGAUGUGGCAAAUACCAGAGGACAACCAUCAGUAGAAGGGGAUGUAUAUCAAAGACUGACAGCAACCCAAAAGCUACAAGAAGGCAGGAAGAAUUCCUCUUCAGACUUUAGGGUGGUCAGGACCCUGUAUACAUCUUGAUCCAGAAACUAGAAGAGAAAGGUUGAUUACCUUGGGCGUGUGUCGUGGUGAAGGAAGCAGACAAGCAGAAGGAGCAGCUGACAUACAGAUCGAUGGGAACAUUUCUGGAGCGCUUGAGUACAUAACUUAACCACAGAUAUAAGAAAGGCGAGUAGCAGUGGCACAGGCCACUUAUCCAUAACUGAGUGAGUACAUUUCCAGUUGAAUGUCCACUGUGUCUCAGCCCAGCCCCAUCAACCUUCUCCAAAGACCAUCCUACCUCUGUCCCCACAGCCCACCAUGACAGGUUACUAGCACAGCUACACUGUGCAGCUGUCUAUGUGAUGUGUAUGUGUGUGCUUUAUGUGUAAAAAGAGCACGUAUUGCCCUAAUGCGGCAUCACUCCCUUUGAGAAGCAAGCCUCAGGCAAGUCCCCCUAUGGCCUCACCAGGCAAACUCAACGUCAUUCUUUUGCCUCAUGGCAGCCUCAAAGAACAGGACGAUGGAAGAGCCUAUGAAAGACUGAGAAACCUAUAGACACACUCUCUCUUGGUACUUCAAAAGUGUGGGCUUCUCACACAUGGUAACUCAUUUUUAAAAUAAAUUUGUGUUUUU
ensembl:lincRNA Gm12532 predicted gene 12532